UCCAAGAGAUUCCAGAGACCUUCCGAGGACUCAUCUAAGCAAAUGACAGUGCCCCACUUUGGGUGCUUCACGCUAGCAUCACAGAGGCCUCCCUCCUGACUGUUACAGAAAGAACCAAAAGGCAUCGCUGCUGUUGCUGCUGCAGCCUCAGACAAGGCCCUGAAGCCUGGGGGGCCCAGGCCAGGCUUCCCUCCCUUCUGGCCCAUCGAAGACACAGGAUGCAACAAAAAACGAUUCCCCCAGGGCCGUCCAAGAAUAGACUGGGCUUUCUGGAUCUUGGCUCCGGGCUCCUGGCCCAGGGCUGACACACUCCCGUCUGCCUAACAAAGGCUGGGAGAGAAGAAGCCUGGUGGCUGGGGUACCCACAAGCUCACAGGGCAGGAUCCACGGAAGAGCUGCGGGGCUCAAGACCCCACCUUUUAAAGCCUGGACAGUUAGCCCUAAGGUAUUGGCUUCCAGUUAUCAGUCUCCCCGCCCCCCCCAAAGAGAAUGUCACCAUUAACACCUGAGGAAGGAACUGGGACUGCUUGGGCUGGAGGUUUGCUGUCCCUGUACGUAUCUGAGGAGUGCUGCCUCUUCAUCUUCAUCCGAGUCACCCAUUGCAAGGGCCCCUGGCCAGGGACCAGGCACAGAUCCCUGGGGCAUCUUCCUUCCAAGAUUCCAUCAUUUCAUGAAGGAGAAACCUUUGGGUCGAGCCUUCCCAGCACUCUCGAAUCUUGGCUACCUAGCCUCUCAUCUAGCUGCAACAAUGUGUCAGAUACAUCAUCUGGGGACUUGUUUUGUCAAACUGCCCUGGAGAUUGGAAGUCUGGGAGGUGGUGGAUAAAGAUUCCACGGUGCAGCCAUCCAGGGCCCCACGCAUACGUCCAUGGAGAGGCUGCCCUGGGGCCACCUCUGUCGUGGUCUCACCAUCUCUGUGUGAGUCCAGCAUUCUCUUCUUGCAAAGUCAGAUUUGUGCUUGGCUCACUUUGGCACCAGACAAGAGUCUCUAUUUGGACUUUGCAGUCUUCCCAUGGGGCUAAUUCUGUCUGUAGAACCGAGGGGAUGGGUGAGGGGGCUGAGCCCGGGCUUGGGGACCACAUAGUAAGGGGCAUUGUUAUUGUACAUAUAUGUCAAAGGCAAAACUGUGGCUAAAAUUGACAUCCAUCCGCUCACAGUGGAUGUCUGCACCAGUUCUGACCAGAGGUGUCUCUUGGGAGGGGCAGAGACGCGAUUCCAUGGUGCCGGACAUCCCAAUCUGCCAAUCCUCCCAUCUUGACUGUGCUGUCAUUCCAUACACCCUCCUUCCAGGCUCCUAGAGAAUGGCUUUCAGAAAUCACCAGGCUUCCUAAAACCCACUUGGCUUACAGAGUCUGGCCUCACUGCAGGUCUGUUGGGGCCUGCCACCCCCUGGGUCUGCUGCCAUCUCUGUUUCUUCCUCUGUGAUGAGUGGUUGAGGCCAAGGGGUCCCUCCACUCCCUGACACGCUAAGGGGUCCUGCAGACAGAGGGCAUUCCCAUCCCCCUCAGUCCUUGGGGGAGGGAGAACUCUGCCUCUUCUCCUCAUCCCUUCCCUGGUCCUCAGAACUCCAGUGUCUGUUGACUUCUGAGCCCUCCUGAAGUAUUCCAGCACCAGGGACAAAUCCACUUGGGGGGGAGUGGGAGGCUUGUCUGAUGCAAGGUCCCUGGUAUCCCACAUAGACAGGGCAGCACACACAUGCACUCAUACACACAUGCAACUCACUCAUAUACAC